rnacentral:lncRNA from 1 species
UUCCUUCUCUCUCACAACUCCAGAUGUCUCACAAAACUCCAGAUCUUCUCUCUCUCACUCUCUCUCCUUCUCUCGCUCUACGACUCAAGAACAUCAUGCCAGAUCUCUCAUCAGAUGCCGAAUCUUGAAAAUCUUUGUUAUUACAAUUUUCUGUAAUCAUUGUGACCACUACCGGUUGUAAUGUAGUGGUUCCGACACCUGAGCUCUGGUGGAGGAGACUAGGGUUUCGGCGAAGAUAAAGCCAUCGGAGGCUAAACAACUCAAAAAGGCUGCUUAAUUUGGUUUUUUGUCACCUGAAACCCUAAUUCAUUCAUUGGAGGAAACUGCAGGUGUUGUGUCUGAAGGUGGUAGGGGCCUGAGCAUUUGGGAUGUUUUCUGCCUCACAAAUCCAGGUUUGUCUUCUUCACCAUGAGCACAUACAGUAAGGUGUGUUAAAUAGGUAGUGUUUGCCGGUUGACGGCUCCAACCCGACACUAACCUGAAUACGACAAACCUUGGUUUAAAACCUUGGUUUAAAAAGCGGGAAGAACACAAAAGCAAUGAGGUCUAAAAUUAUUUAUUGGAUUAUUUUGAAUUUAAUGUUAGGUGACUGAUGCGAUUGAGAUGUUGGUCCGUAUGUUACAUAGAGUUUAAGUAGAGGGUAAUAUAUACUUAUCUUUGCUGCAAUAGAUUGUUAAUGUUUAAUAAUUUGAAUUACAAUCUCUAUAUUCUCAAUGUAGAUCAGAUCCACCAUCCAAUGUGCCUAAAAAAGCUUCUAAAGUGAUAAAUCCUAGAUGAAGCUUCGAGGAAAGAAUAUCUGGUCAAUAAAGCUCUUUCUCAGAUUUUAUAGUUGUUUUUAGAGAGCUUGAAAAUAAAUGUGUUUUGUUUUCAUAUAGGAAAGAAAAUACCUGAAUCAAAGAAUUGUUUGAAAAUAUUGAAAAGUUGGGGUAAAGUUUGAUUCAAUUGAAAGGCUGAAUCUUGGAAUGGAGAAUCCUGAUGGGAAUUUGUAAACUUUGAAGUUAUUUUAACAAAAAAAACCUUUUUUAAACCAACCCGACCCGAAACCCACUCCGGCCCGAACCCAUUCUGACCUGAACCCAUCCCGACCCUAACCCAUUCCGACCCGCCACCCAAUCCGACCCGAAUCAAAGAUUCGCUACCUUUUUUGGAUGAUUCCAUGUCGGAUCUGUGUAAUACUUUCAGAAUGUUGAAUUUGAUUUAUGUGAAGGUGUUUUGUUGUUCGUUGUUUCUUCGAAUCUCCAUUUGUUGUUUUAUUUUUCUUCGAAGCUCCAUGUGCGGAUGUUAAGUUGACUGAACAAAAUAACGACUCAACGGUAAGAUUAUUGAGCAGAUCGGUUGCAACUGAGACGAGAUCCUUUAGCAGUACAUGGCUGUCAAGGUUGGUUCCGACAACUCGAUUCCGAUUUAGCGGCCGCAUGUAUAUUUUUCCAGAACAAAGGUACGUCUGGGAUGACAGCCGUGAUGACCCCUGUUCUUAAAGUCAAGCUUUCAACUAUUCAGUCAAAGGCAACAUCUUUGAUUCUGCCCAGAUUAGAAUUAGUUUAUGUAGUUCUCAUGAUAUUUACUCUUUUUAGGUACUUUUCGUUUUCUUAAUGUAACUGUAUUACACGUGGUGGUGUACUUGCAGCAGUGGUCUGCAAUCAAGGUCAUUGCACCCUAUGUGGUUAUCCAAUGGAAACCUUAUUGAGAAAGGAGACCUAGAGGUGAAAAUCUUUUGUGUAUGGUUGCUGCUAUGAAGAAAAUGAAAGAUCUUGGAAAUGUUUGCAUGGAACAAGCAGCAGAGAUUGAGAAGUUAAAUAAUCUGGGAACAGAUAUUUGAGAGGGUGACAAAGAACCUAAAAGUGGCCCGAGUGUUUACAACUUUGGUGGAGGAGAUGAAGGCGUCAAGGCGUCAAGGUGACAUGGGGGCUGGAAAGAGCACAGCUCUAAAGGACAUUCUUCAAGAGUAAGUCGUUAAGUAUAUUAUACAAAUGACUCCCUCGAGGUAAGUUGAACGGGUUAGAUAAUAGGUCAAAACAGAUAUAUAUAAAAAAUAACGAGUAGGAUAUGCUUAAAAAAACAAUAUUAAUAUUUUAUUAAUCCAAAUCUUUGAAUUAAACAACUUAAAGGUUUUUCACAUAAAAAAUAGAAUUGAGCUACUUUCAAUGUGUUUAAUACUUUCAACCCAUUUGACCCACAUGCAAGGCGGUUUCAGUUUAGAAAAUAAUAAGAAUUAUGGCGUUAAAAUAUUGAUUUUUGUUAGAUUUUAAAAGUGUAAGGUUACAUUUGUUACAAAUAAAAGGUUUUUAAGAGUUAUAAUGUGGCUUUGAAUGUACACAGACCAGUUUGGGCAGGAGCAUCAGCAAAUGCAGUUGUAAUAGAAGCUUGGGUUUGGCCUAAACGGGUUUGGGCAGGAGCAUCAGCAUCAGCAAAUGCAGUUUUAUCUCAAAACUAUACGUCUAUAUAACAUUCUUCUUUUCUUUUGAGACCGAAACACAAUUAAUAAUUUUUCUUUCUAUUUUAAACGACAGAUGCAGACAUGGGAAUUAUCUAAUAUCAAACACCUGCUUGAGUUUCUCAGAUUAUAAAAAAACAAAUACCAAAUAGAUAACAGACAUCACUAUAUAUUUCUGGUUGAUUGCUUUUAACCACAAUACCUACUAUUAAUCCAAUUGUUUUGACCCAAAUAGUCAGAAUAUCAAAUUCGGAAAGUUUUUCCCAAUAAGAUACAUUGAAUUUUGACUUAUUGACGCAAUAAUCACUUUAGGCCAGUAGCCAAACAACCCCUAAUAAGGGUAGCUGGAUACAGUGUGUAUCAACCUUUAAAUAGUUGAAUUUGCUGCCAUAUGAUAUGUAGAUAUAUUCAUUUUUCAUUUAAAUAGUUGAAUUUGCUGCAAUAUGAUAUGCUGAUAUAUUCAUUUUUCAUUAGAAAGGGAAGAUCAUGAGUGUUGCCAUAGUUCCAUGUGUUAUCACAGUUGGAUGUAUGUAUCCACGCAUUCUUCGCUGAUCUUCGUGAUCCAAAUACUCGCCUACUAGGUGGACGAUCUUUGCCACCACUCUUUAAUUUCAAGCCUCAAGGUACUUGUUGAAGGCAACCAUGGAUGGCGACGACAUCGGGUUUUAGGCGAAACAAAUUGCAAGUGAUGAUGGGAAAAUGGGCUGGUUGGGCUGAUGGAUUUUGUGCGGGCCGAAACAGGCCUGGUUAGGUUGAUCCAAGACAGUUGUUCAACAUAUUUAUCUUUUUAAUAAAUAAUUAGUUUAAGAUAUGAUCACAUAUAUUCCCUGAGCUAAAUUUUCGAAUGAAAUAAUUAAAAGAGAUUUUAGCAUUAAAAAUGGAAGUUGGACGGUUGUUGACCCGUUUGAUUAUUUGAUCCAUUUCUUUUAAAGCUAUUUUAUAUGAAUUUUACCUGUUAGAAAUACGACAUAAUCUCUAAUAAAAGUGGUAAAGGGGCACUUCUUUUUUUGGAUUUUAGGCAAGAAAUUGAGAGAAUAUGAUGAAUGAUAUGAAGUAAGAGGUCAAGGGUGCUGGUCUAAAGAAUUUAAAGACUAUAAUUUAGUUUAUAAUUCAGGAAGUCAAAGUUGCGUUGAAGUUUAUAAUUCGGUUUGGAUUUAAAGUUGAGGUGAGGUUAGAUUGAAAGUUGGUGUUAAAUCGGUUUUGGUUAAGGAUGGUGUCAAUGCUGCCAAAAAGAUUAGGUUUAAGACUGUUGCCUUGAAGACCAUUAAUUGGGCUUGGCGUGUUAUGGCUGCAACUAUAGAAAUGGAUAUGCAGAUUGAAGAUGAGGCUGCCACUUGCUGUUAUUUCUGUCUUUGUUUUGAGUAUUAUGUUUACGUUUUUCAUUAAAAUCAAGUUGUGAACCCAAUUGGCAUAUCUUUUUGUAUUGCUAUAUCGAAUGUUGGUGUCGUACCAUUACUGGAAUGAACCAAAACGAUACAGGCGUACUAUACAAAAAAUUACAAAGCGAUUGAUAAACUAACUAUGAACAACAACCGGGUUGUAAAUUGUCAUCGCCGCUGCAUCG